CCUACGGGGGGCAGCAGUGGGGAAUUUUGGACAAUGGGCGCAAGCCUGAUCCAGCAAUGCCGCGUGCAGGAAGAAGGCCUUCGGGUUGUAAACUGCUUUUGUCAGGGAAGAAAUCUUCUGGGCUAAUACCCCGGGAGGAUGACGGUACCUGAAGAAUAAGCACCGGCUAACUACGUGCCAGCAGCCGCGGUAAUACGUAGGGUGCGAGCGUUAAUCGGAAUUACUGGGCGUAAAGCGUGCGCAGGCGGCUUUGCAAGACAGAUGUGAAAUCCCCGGGCUCAACCUGGGAACUGCAUUUGUGACUGCAAGGCUAGAGUACGGCAGAGGGGGAUGGAAUUCCGCGUGUAGCAGUGAAAUGCGUAGAUAUGCGGAGGAACACCAAUGGCGAAGGCAAUCCCCUGGGCCUGUACUGACGCUCAUGCACGAAAGCGUGGGGAGCAAACAGGAUUAGAUACCCUUGUAGUC
rnacentral:rRNA from 1 species